rnacentral:lncRNA from 1 species
UGAGUACGAGAGUCUGAAUCUAUGCAUAAAAGGUUUAAAUGAACUUGUCUUUGAAAAAGACACAGACUCCUGUUUCUCACUACAAUUUUAAAAAGGAAACAAGAAAAUUUAUGCGCUACAGUGUAUAAAGCACUCGCCACACUAAUUAGUGAAAAGGCCUCAUACUAGCACAUCGUCAAAACAGACGCUGCAAGUGACAAAGAUCACCAAGUACACAAAUACAAGAUAAUCAAUAUCUCGUCUUAUGACGCUACAUGUAUAGAUGCAAAAUAUUCUAAGAAGUAUUUAUGAAAUAGAGUAGUGGAUACCAAUUUUUGAAAUCAAUUGAUAAGAAAAUUUCUUUGAAGAAACUCACCACUCCAGAACAUAAAUAUGAGACAGAAUAAAGAUUAUGUUGUCUCCCUUGUACUCAGAAUAUUAAACACCUAAAAUAUAUUAGCACCAGUGGUUUUAAGAAAUAUGCAACAAUAUUUCACCAGUGCCAAUACAUCACAAUCAAUUCACAAAUAAAACAUCAAUAAAGCAUCAGAAAUAGAUACCAAUUAAAUAUUUCAAAAAUGAAUUAAUCAUGCUUCUAUU